AGCAGCCGCGGUAAUUCCAGCUCCAAUAGCGUAUAUUAAAGUUGUUGCAGUUAAAAAGCUCGUAGUUGAACUUCGGGGUCUACCCAUUGGUCAGGCUUAAUUGUCUGUACUGGUGAGAUGGAUCUCUACCUUCUGAGGAACUUUCAUGCCAUUUAUUUGGUGUGAUUGGAAAUCAGGACUGUUACUUUGAAAAAAUUGAGUGUUUAAAGCAGUCUAUCGUCUGAAUACAUUAGCAUGGAAUAAUGAAAUAGGACGGACUGAUUCUAUUUCGUUGGUUCUAGGGUCACCGUAAUGAUUAAUAGGGAUAGUUGGGGCAUUAGUAUUCAAUUGUCAGAGGUGAAAUUCUUGGAUUUAUUGAAGACUAACUACUGCGAAAGCAAUUUGCCAAGGAUGUUUUCAUUAAUCAAGAACGAAAGUUAGGGGAUCGAAGACGAUCAGAUACCGUCGUAGUCUUAACCAUAAAACCUAUGCCGACUAGGGGAUCGGGACGAAGUUUAAUUUUANAAUUGACGCGUUCGGC
rnacentral:rRNA from 1 species